rnacentral:lncRNA from 1 species
UAAAUUGAGUUAGAUCUAUUUAUUGGAUAAAUGUUCGAAACUGAAUUACAAUUUGGCCUAAGUUAGUUCCCUGAUGGCCGUAUUCACCAAACAGGAUCGAGAUCGAGAUUCUGUUAGUAUUCACCGAAUGCGACUUAGCCGAUCCGAGAGACGAUCUCCUACUGUUAGUAAACGGCCAUAUUAUUGGUUUAAAAUAUCAUGUGCUAAUGAUGUCAUGCUGAAACCAGUGGCAGAUUUAGCAUUUGAGAGGCCUCAGGCGCAAUUCAAUUUUGAGGCCCCCUCUAAAUAUUUUCACUACCCCUACAUUCUACAGUGUGAAGUCUAC